rnacentral:tRNA from 1 species
GCGGGUGUGGCGGAAUUGGCAGACGCGCGGGACUCAGGAUCCCGUGGCCUUACGGCCGUGAGGGUUCAACUCCCUCCACCCGCACCA